UACGUAGGGGGCUAGCGUUGUCCGGAUUUAUUGGGCGUAAAGAGCGUGUAGGCGGCCUGGUAGGUCUGCUGUGAAAACUCGAGGCUCAACCUCGAGAUGUCGGCGGAAACCAUCUGGCUAGAGUCCGGAAGAGGAGAGUGGAAUUCCUGGUGUAGCGGUGAAAUGCGCAGAUAUCAGGAAGAACACCUAUGGCGAAGGCAGCUCUCUGGGGCCGUAACUGACGCUGAGGAGCGAAAAGCAUGGGGAGCGAACAGG
rnacentral:rRNA from 1 species